GCCUAAAGCGUCCGUAGCCGGCUUUGUAAGUUUUCGGUUAAAUCUAUAUGCUCAACAUAUAGGCUGCCGGAAAUACUGCAAAGCUAGGGAGUGGGAGAGGUAGACGGUACUCCGUAGGAAGGGGUAAAAUCCUUUGAUCUAUGGAUGACCACCUGUGGCGAAGGCGGUCUGCCAGAACACGUUCGACGGUGAGGGAUGAAAGCUGGGGGAGCAAACCGGAUUAGAUACCCGGGUAGUCCCAGCUGUAAACUAUGCAAACUCAGUGAUGCAUUGGCUUGUGGCCAGUGCAGUGCCGCAGGGAAGCCGUUAAGUUUGCCGCCUGGGAAGUACGUACGCAAGUAUGAAACUUAAAGGAAUUGGCGGGGGAGCACCACAAGGGGUGAAGCCUGCGGUUCAAUUGGAGUCAACGCCAGAAAUCUUACCCGGAGAGACAGCAGGAUGAAGGUCAAGCUGAAGACUUUACCAGACAAGCUGAGAAGUGGUGCAUGGCCGUCGCCAGCUCGUGCCGUGAGAUGUCCUGUUAAGUCAGGUAACGAGCGAGAUCCUUGCCUCUAGUUGCCACCAUUACUCUCAGGAGUAGUGGGGCGAAUUAGCGGGACUGCCGUAGUUAAUACGGAGGAAGGAGAGGGCCACGGCAGGUCAGUAUGCCCCGAA
rnacentral:rRNA from 1 species